rnacentral:rRNA from 1 species
AGUAACACGUGGAUAACCUACCUAUAAGACUGGGAUAACUUCGGGAAACCGGAGCUAAUACCGGAUAAUAUAUUGAACCGCAUGGUUCAAUAGUGAAAGACGGUUUUGCUGUCACUUAUAGAUGGAUCCGCGCUGCAUUAGCUAGUUGGUGAGGUAACGGCUUACCAAGGCAACGAUGCGUAGCCGACCUGAGAGGGUGAUCGGCCACACUGGAACUGAGACACGGUCCAGACUCCUACGGGAGGCAGCAGGU